UUUGUUUGUCCUAAGUCAAACUUGUUCAAUUUUGAUCAAGUUUAUAGAAAAAUAUAACAUCUACACUAUCAAAUAUCAAAAUAUAUUCCAUGGUUUAUUCAAUGAAACAUGAAACAAAUUGGUAUUGUAGAUGUUAUGUUUUUCUAUAAACUUGAUCAAAGUUGGACAGGUUUGACUUAGGACAAAGCAAA
rnacentral:pre_miRNA from 1 species